CUGAAGAGAAAAUUUUCAGAAAAUCACAAACGACUAAAAAUUGGAUAAAAAGACUGUUCCAUUGAAUUUUCUUCUGCAAUUCUUGAGGUUUUGAGUGUCUGAAGCAAUUUCUGAUUUAUCCGGGUUGGAAAUGGAUUGAACUUGGGCAUUGAAAAGAGGUGGUUCAAGUCUGUUGUUUGGUUUGCUGUUCUAUUGGUCUUUCUGAGUCAGUUUCACUAUUUGAUUGUUUGAAUCUGGGGCUAACCUCUGCUACUGCUAUUGUUGAUCUCUCACCUCUUGUGUCCUUUCAUUUUCAGGUAUUUUUCUAGCACUAUGGGGAUAAAUUGAAUGUAAUUCGAAGUUUGGAUCUAAAAAAUGUGACUAAACAUGAUGUUGUUUGUUAUUGAAGUUCUAGCUCUCUUUCAAUUUCCUGCAUAGAUUAUACUGCUCAGUUUUUUUUAGAAAGAAUCUGACUAUGUAAAUUUAUCAGUGAAUAGGACGUAAAUGAAAUCUGUGAUCAGUCAAUUCCUGUUGGUUGUCUUUUAGUCUUGGUUUUAGUUUAGGUUUAGUUUAUAAUAUGGGACAGAUUAUGGUUUAUCUGUUUAGACUUCAUGAUUUGAGCUUGUUGUUAUGUAUAAGAGGG
rnacentral:lncRNA from 1 species